rnacentral:rRNA from 1 species
GGACGCUGGCGGCGUGCUUACACAUGCAAGUCGAACGGUGAAGCCCAGCUUGCUGGGUGGAUCAGUGGCGAACGGGUGAGUAACACGUGAGCAACCUGCCCCUGACUCUGGGAUAAGCGCUGGAAACGGCGUCUAAUACUGGAUACGAGACGUGAUCGCAUGGUCAACGUCUGGAAAGAAUUUCGGUUGGGGAUGGGCUCGCGGCCUAUCAGCUUGUUGGUGAGGUAAUGGCUCACCAAGGCGUCGACGGGUAGCCGGCCUGAGAGGGUGACCGGCCACACUGGGACUGAGACACGGCCCAGACUCCUACGGGAGGCAGCAGUGGGGAAUAUUGCACAAUGGGCGGAAGCCUGAUGCAGCAACGCCGCGUGAGGGAUGACGGCCUUCGGGUUGUAAACCUCUUUUAGCAGGGAAGAAGCGAAAGUGACGGUACCUGCAGAAAAAGCGCCGGCUAACUACGUGCCAGCAGCCGCGGUAAUACGUAGGGCGCAAGCGUUAUCCGGAAUUAUUGGGCGUAAAGAGCUCGUAGGCGGUUUGUCGCGUCUGCUGUGAAAUCCCGAGGCUCAACCUCGGGCCUGCAGUGGGUACGGGCAGACUAGAGUGCGGUAGGGGAGAUUGGAAUUCCUGGUGUAGCGGUGGAAUGCGCAGAUAUCAGGAGGAACACCGAUGGCGAAGGCAGAUCUCUGGGCCGUAACUGACGCUGAGGAGCGAAAGGGUGGGGAGCAAACAGGCUUAGAUACCCUGGUAGUCCACCCCGUAAACGUUGGGAACUAGUUGUGGGGUCCAUUCCACGGAUUCCGUGACGCAGCUAACGCAUUAAGUUCCCCGCCUGGGGAGUACGGCCGCAAGGCUAAAACUCAAAGGAAUUGACGGGGACCCGCACAAGCGGCGGAGCAUGCGGAUUAAUUCGAUGCAACGCGAAGAACCUUACCAAGGCUUGACAUAUACGAGAACGGGCCAGAAAUGGUCAACUCUUUGGACACUCGUAAACAGGUGGUGCAUGG